rnacentral:misc_RNA from 1 species
AACGCACAUUGCGCCCCCUGGUAUUCCGGGGGGCAUGCCUGUUCGAGCGUCAUUUCACCACUCAAGCCUCGCUUGGUAUUGGGCAAUCGCGAGUCCGCCGCGUGCCUCAAAUCGACCGGCUAGGCGUCUUCUGUCCCCUAAGCGUUGUGGCAACUAUUCGCUAAAGGGUGUUCGGAGGCGUACGUGCCGUUAAAAACCCAUUUCUAAGGUUGACCUCGGAUCAGGUAGGGAUACCCGCUGAACUUAA